UUCAAGUAGUAAACAAAAUGAAUCGCUUCAUUCCUGUAUUUUUAUUUAUAGUUAAUUACGUUUAGUGGAAAUGUGAAAUUACGUAAAUUAAGGUGCCACAAUUUGCGCAAUCAAGUUUUAGCGUCAAAUUUUCAAAAACAUAACCAAAAACAACCCAAGCAAGCAACUCAAAACGGCAUUUUGUACGAAAGUCUGAAUAGUCCAAAUCUAAACCCUUUUCAAGUGUCUGAAGUGACAGUAAGGCAAGGAUCUGGAGCAGAAACUGUGGAGCAAAAUUUCGAAAAUUGCCAGUUUUUUGGGUUAAAUACCAUACAACUGGAACGUUUUGAGUUUGAUUUUGCCAAACACGUCUUGUUUGUGCCAGGGUUUUUUCCUAAUGUUACAAGUGAUUGCGAUUAUGAAUUAGACGGAAUAGUCUUGCUUUUGCCGGUCGGGCAAAAACAGAGUUAUUGCAAAAAAUUUAGUUGUGAAUGCUGCUUCCAGAUUCACACAAUAUGCAAAAAAUAAUAAAACUUUCAUCCAAUUCUUAAUAUUAAUAUUAAGUAUUAAUCAAGUGUUGAAUGAUAACUGGGAGGAAAUUGUUAAUGACGUUAAAAGUGGUUAUAUUGAGAUUGUAAGCGAAAUUUUGACGAGUUUAUUUACGAAUUUUUUCGCUAAAGUGUCACUUGAGGAAGCUUUGGACUAAAUCAACUUACCUGAGAAAAAAUAAUGCACUGCGUUUAACAACAUAUUUAUUGUAAGACUAAUGAAAUACUUCCACUGAUUGCCUCACUGUUACUUUCAGAAUAAAUAAUAACUAAGUAAA